UGCAGUCGAACGAUUAAACUCGCCUUCGGGUGAGAUAUAAAGUGGCGCACGGGUGAGUAACACGUAAGUAAUCUACCUUCGGAUGGGGAAUAACAGUCGGAAACGACUGCUAAUACCGCAUAAUGCAGCGGCAUCAUAAGAUGACAGUUGUUAAAGUAUUUAUACGUCUGGAGAGGAGCUUGCGGCAGAUUAGCUAGUUGGUAAGGUAAUGGCUUACCAAGGCGACGAUCUGUAGCCGACCUGAGAGGGUGGUCGGUCACACUGACACUGAAUAACGGGUCAGACUCCUACGGGAGGCAGCAGUCGGGAAUUUUGGGCAAUGGGCGAAAGCCUGACCCAGCAACGCCGCGUGAAGGAUGAAGUUCUUCGGAAUGUAAACUUCGUAAAAAUAGGAAGAAUAAAUGACGGUACUAUUUGUAAGGUCCGGCUAAUUACGUGCCAGCAGCCGCGGUAAUACGUAGGGACCAAGCGUUGUUCGGAUUUACUGGGCGUAAAGGGCGCGUAGGCGGCGUGACAAGUCACUUGUGAAAUCUCCGGGCUUAACUCGGAACGGUCAAGUGAUACUGUUGUGCUAGAGUACAGAAGGGGCAAUCGGAAUUCUUGGUGUAGCGGUGAAAUGCGUAGAUAUCAAGAGGAACACCAGAGGCGAAGGCGGAUUGCUAGGCUGAUACUGACGCUGAGGCGCGAAAGCUAGGGUAGCAAACGGGAUUAGAUACCCCGGUAGUCCUAGCCCUAAACGAUGAAUACUUGGUGUCUGGAGUUUAAUUCUCUGGGUGCCGUCGCUAACGUUUUAAGUAUUCCGCCUGGGGAGUACGCAC
rnacentral:rRNA from 1 species